AUGAAUAAAUGGCGAAAACAAUAUAAUUAUAACAUAUAUUUUUAUUUUACUUAUUUUAGGUCUGUGAAGCCAAACUUGAUGCUGGGGAUUUAUUUUUGUCAGUGGAGUCAAAUGGUUGAAGCAGAAUUUGCCCGUCUUACAUCUGUUGACCUGAAAGGGUUCCUUUUUGCUGUGCUUGACCAUUAUGGAGAGGUUCGUGGAGCUGUACAAAAUCAAGAGCGGCAUAGGAGGGCUAACUAGGCUCAUAAGAUGCUUCGGAGAUGAUGUAAGUGUUCAACUGUGAAAUCUAAUCCUUUGUUUAAGUUUUAGGUUAUCCAGUUCAACUGAUGAACUCAUUGAAAGAAAGCUGAUAAGUAAAGUCUGUCAUCAUAUUUCACAACUGGACAUUUAGUGUGGUAACUUUUACAGAAUCUGUGUAUAUUGGUGGUAGGUUGGAUAUCAUAUUCUACUUGAAUGUCCUGAUAAGCCUGAUUCAAAAUCUCCAAUGAUAAUCAUAUAUUGAUGGAAUUAUGUAUCAAAAAGCUGUGAAUUUGGAGCUGUCUACAUGCUUCAUAAACACUGUUUAAAAAAUGUUUUUGUUUUCUUUUUGACUUCUUUGACCAGAGCCCUACACAAAGGAAGAGGACAGAGGACCUCAUUUUCUAAAGGAAGAUCCCUCACACACUUUCAAGACUGUGAAGGUUAGCAUUGUUUCUUUUAGUAAAUUUAAUAAUGACAGCACCACAGUGGAUUUUAAAUGAAACAUGUGGCAUCUAUGAAACAAUAGAUGCCACAUGAUAACAUGUGUACUUUUUCCUCACCAAAUGUAUUAUUACAAGAUCUUUGACACUGGAUUUGGUCUGGGUUUCAGAGAAACUAACUGGCAAGCUAGCAUUGAUAUUAUUAGUGUCUUGUGUUUAUUCAUGUCUUCACCAGGGUCUUUGACAUUUCGCUGCUGUACUGUUCACUUCAGCUUUACGUUUGAU
rnacentral:lncRNA from 1 species